rnacentral:piRNA from 1 species
UAAUUCUAAGUCCAUUAAGUAGACAAGAGC